rnacentral:rRNA from 1 species
UCUCUAAGCAACGGAUGUCUUGGCUCCUCACACGAUGAAGAACGUGGCAUAAUGUGUUAAGUAACCGGAGUUGCAAACAUCAUGACAGGUUAAUCUUUGAAUGCAAAUUGCGCUUACCCGACUUCGGUCGAGGAGCAUGCGUGUAACAGUACAACAUAAUUUAUAA